UUGACCUCGAAUCAGGUAGGAAUACCCGCUGAACUUAAGCAUAUCAAUAAGCGGAGGAAAAGAAACCAACCGGGAUUACCUCAGUAACGGCGAGUGAAGCGGUAACAGCUCAAAUUUGAAAUCUGGCUCUUCCGGAGUCCGAGUUGUAAUUUGUAGAAGAUGCUUUGGGUUGUGGGUUCGGCCUAAGUUCCUUGGAACAGGACGUCAUAGAGGGUGAGAAUCCCGUAUGUGGCCGAGGCCCGCGCCUAUGUAAAGCUCUUUCAACGAGUCGAGUUGUUUGGGAAUGCAGCUCAAAAUGGGUGGUAAAUUUCAUCUAAAGCUAAAUAUGGGCCAGAGACCGAUAGCGCACAAGUAGAGUGAUCGAAAGAUGAAAAGCACUUUGGAAAGAGAGUUAAACAGUACGUGAAAUUGUUGAAAGGGAAGCGCUUGCAACCAGACUUGGGCGCUGCCGAUCACCUUGAGUUUUCUCGAGUGCACUCGACAGCGCACAGGCCAGCAUCGGUUCGGGUGGCUGGAUAAAGGCCGUAGGAAUGUGGCUCUCUUCGGGGAGUGUUAUAGCCUACGGUGCCAUGCAGCCCAGCCGGACCGAGGACCGCGCCUUCGGGCUAGGAUGCUGGCGUAAUGGUUGUAAGCGACCCGUCUUGAAACACGGACCAAGGAGUCUAACAUCUAUGCGAGUGUUUGGGUGGUAAACCCAUACGCGGAAUGAAAGUGAACGUAGGUGAGAACCCCUUUGGGGCGCAUCAUCGACCGAUCCUGAUGUCUUCGGAUGGAUUUGAGUAAGAGCAUAGCUGUUGGGA
rnacentral:rRNA from 1 species